GGGACCAUCCUCCAAGGCUAAAUACUCCUGACUGACCGAUAGUGAACCAGUACCGUGAGGGAAAGGCGAAAAGAACCCCGGCGAGGGGAGUGAAAAAGAACCUGAAACCGUGUACGUACAAGCAGUGGGAGCACGCUUAGGCGUGUGACUGCGUACCUUUUGUAUAAUGGGUCAGCGACUUAUAUUCUGUAGCAAGGUUAACCGAAUAGGGGAGCCGAAGGGAAACCGAGUCUUAACUGGGCGUUAAGUUGCAGGGUAUAGACCCGAAACCCGGUGAUCUAGCCAUGGGCAGGUUGAAGGUUGGGUAACACUAACUGGAGGACCGAACCGACUAAUGUUGAAAAAUUAGCGGAUGACUUGUGGCUGGGGGUGAAAGGCCAAUCAAACCGGGAGAUAGCUGGUUCUCCCCGAAAGCUAUUUAGGUAGCGCCUCGUGAAUUCAUCUCCGGGGGUAGAGCACUGUUUCGGCAAGGGGGUCAUCCCGACUUACCAACCCGAUGCAAACUGCGAAUACCGGAGAAUGUUAUCACGGGAGACACACGGCGGGUGCUAACGUCCGUCGUGAAGAGGGAAACAACCCAGACCGCCAGCUAAGGUCCCAAAGUCAUGGUUAAGUGGGAAACGAUGUGGGAAGGCCCAGACAGCCAGGAUGUUGGCUUAGAAGCAGCCAUCAUUUAAAGAAAGCGUAAUAGCUCACUGGUCGAGUCGGCCUGCGCGGAAGAUGUAACGGGGCUAAACCAUGCACCGAAGCUGCGGCAGCGACGCUUAUGCGUUGUUGGGUAGGGGAGCGU
rnacentral:rRNA from 1 species